GAUGAACGCUGGCUACAGGCUUAACACAUGCAAGUCGAGGGGAAACGACGGGGAAGCUUGCUUCCCCGGGCGUCGACCGGCGCACGGGUGAGUAACGCGUAUCCAACCUGCCUCUGACUGAGGGAUAACCCGUCGAAAGUCGGCCUAAUACCUCAUGGCAUCGUCUGCGGGCAUCCAACGACGAUUAAAGAUUUCAUCGGUCAUGGAUGGGGAUGCGUCUGAUUAGCUUGUUGGCGGGGUAACGGCCCACCAAGGCUACGAUCAGUAGGGGUUCUGAGAGGAAGGUCCCCCACAUUGGAACUGAGACACGGUCCAAACUCCUACGGGAGGCAGCUGUGAGGAAUAUUGGUCAAUGGGCGGGAGCCUGAACCAGCCAAGUAGCGUGCAGGAUGACGGCCCUAUGGGUUGUAAACUGCUUUUAUGCGGGGAUAAAGUGAGGGACGUGUCCUUCAUUGCAGGUACCGCAUGAAUAAGGACCGGCUAAUUCCGUG
rnacentral:rRNA from 1 species